rfam:Picea glauca, whole genome shotgun sequence.
AUGUAUAUUCCUACAACAUUAAUGCAAUGGAUCCCAUCAUAAAUCCCUAGUUAAGCAUGCUUGGGAUAGAGUAGUAAUGGGUGACCUCUUGAGAAUUCCUAGUGUUUUACAUG